CUACGGGCUGCACCAGUGGGGAAUAUUGCACAAUGGGCGCAAGCCUGAUGCAGCCAUGCCGCGUGUAUGAAGGAGGCCUUCGGGUUGUAAAGUACUUUCAGCGGGGAGGAAGGGAGUAAAGUUAAUACCUUUGCUCAUUGACGUUACCCGCAGAAGAAGCAACGGCUAACUCCGUGCCAGCAGCCGCGGUAAUACGGAGGGUGCAAGCGGUAAUCGGAAUUACUGGGCGUAAAGCGCACGCAGGCGGUUUGUUAAGUCAGAUGUGAAAUCCCCGGGCUCAACCUGGGAACUGCAUCUGAUACUGGCAAGCUUGAGUCUCGUAGAGGGGGGUAGAAUUCCAGGUGUAGCGGUGAAAUGCGUAGAGAUCUGGAGGAAUACCGGUGGCGAAGGCGGCCCCCUGGACGAAGACUGACGCUCAGGUGCGAAAGCGUGGGGAGCAAACAGGAUUAGAUACCCCGGUAGUC
rnacentral:rRNA from 1 species